UACGUAGGUGGCAAGCGUUUGUCCGGAAUUAUUGGGCGUAAAGCGCGCGCAGGCGGUCCCUUAAGUCUGAUGUGAAAGCCCACGGCUCAACCGUGGAGGGUCAUUGGAAACUGGGGGACUUGAGUACAGAAGAGGAAAGCGGAAUUCCACGUGUAGCGGUGAAAUGCGUAGAGAUGUGGAGGAACACCAGUGGCGAAGGCGGCUUUCUGGUCUGUAACUGACGCUGAGGCGCGAAAGCUAGGGGAGCAAACAGG
rnacentral:rRNA from 1 species